rnacentral:siRNA from 1 species
UGCUCCGUCGAUGAUGGCUCCUCU